rnacentral:siRNA from 1 species
UAACGGUUUAAUUGCAUGGUUCCC